CUUGGUCAUUUAGAGGAAGUAAAAGUCGUAACAAGGUUUCCCGUACGGUGAACCUGCGGAAGGAUCAUUA
rnacentral:rRNA from 1 species